rnacentral:rRNA from 1 species
UACGGGGGGAGCAAGCGUUGUUCGGAUUUACUGGGCGUAAAGGGCGCGUAGGCGGCCAGCACAAGUCAGUUGUGAAAUCUCCGGGCUUAACUCGGAAAGGUCAACUGAUACUGUGCGGCUAGAGUGCGGAAGGGGCAAUCGGAAUUCUCGGUGUAGCGGUGAAAUGCGUAGAUAUCGAGAGGAACACCUGAGGUGAAGACGGGUUGCUGGGCCGACACUGACGUGGAGUGCGCGAAAGCCAGGGGAGCAAACGGG